rnacentral:snoRNA from 1 species
AAUCCAUGAUAUGGGCACUUACGUAAUAUGACUUUAAAGCACUCCUAAGCCUCGUAUAGUUACUCCCAUUCCAAUUGUUGAAAAUUCGUAAUAUCCAUACGAAGUUU